rnacentral:rRNA from 1 species
UACGUAGGGUCCAAGCGUUAAUCGGAAUUACUGGGCGUAAAGCGUGCGCAGGCGGUCGUUCAAGUCGCGUGUGAAAGCCCCCCGGCUCAACCUGGAGCGGCCACUCGAUACUGCCAUGGCUUGAGUCCGGUAGGGGACCACGGAAUUCCUGGUGUAGCGGUGAAAUGACGCAGAUAUCAGGAGGAACACCGGUGGCGAAGGCGGUGGUCUGGGCCGGAACUGACGCUGAGGAGCGAAAGCGUGGGGAGCGAACAGG